rnacentral:rRNA from 1 species
UGGGAAUUUUGGACAAUGGGCGAAAGCCUGAUCCAGCAAUGCCGCGUGUGUGAAGAAGGCCUUCGGGUUGUAAAGCACUUUUGUCCGGAAAGAAAUCCUUGGCUCUAAUACAGUCGGGGGAUGACGGUACCGGAAGAAUAAGCACCGGCUAACUACGUGCCAGCAGCCGCGGUAAUACGUAGGGUGCAAGCGUUAAUCGGAAUUACUGGGCGUAAAGCGUGCGCAGGCGGUUUGCUAAGACCGAUGUGAAAUCCCCGGGCUCAACCUGGGAACUGCAUUGGUGACUGGCAGGCUAGAGUAUGGCAGAGGGGGGUUAGAAUUCCACGUGUAGCAGUGAAAUGCGUAGAGAUGUGGAGGAAUACCGAUGGCGAAGGCAGCCCCCUGGGCCAAUACUGACGCUCAUGCACGAAAGCGUGGGGAGCAAACAGGAUU